AGAGUUUGAUCAUGGCUCAGAUUGAACGCUGGCGGCAGGCCUAACACAUGCAAGUCGAACGGUAACAGGAAGAAGCUUGCUUCUUUGCUGACGAGUGGCGGACGGGUGAGUAAUGUCUGGGAAACUGCCUGAUGGAGGGGGAUAACUACUGGAAACGGUAGCUAAUACCGCAUAACGUCGCAAGACCAAAGAGGGGGACCUUCGGGCCUCUUGCCAUCGGAUGUGCCCAGAUGGGAUUAGCUAGUAGGUGGGGUAACGGCUCACCUAGGCGACGAUCCCUAGCUGGUCUGAGAGGAUGACCAGCCACACUGGAACUGAGACACGGUCCAGACUCCUACGGGAGGCAGCAGUGGGGAAUAUUGCACAAUGGGCGCAAGCCUGAUGCAGCCAUGCCGCGUGUAUGAAGAAGGCCUUCGGGUUGUAAAGUACUUUCAGCGGGGAGGAAGGGAGUAAAGUUAAUACCUUUGCUCAUUGACGUUACCCGCAGAAGAAGCACCGGCUAACUCCGUGCCAGCAGCCGCGGUAAUACGGAGGGUGCAAGCGUUAAUCGGAAUUACUGGGCGUAAAGCGCACGCAGGCGGUUUGUUAAGUCAGAUGUGAAAUCCCCGGGCUCAACCUGGGAACUGCAUCUGAUACUGGCAAGCUUGAGUCUCGUAGAGGGGGGUAGAAUUCCAGGUGUAGCGGUGAAAUGCGUAGAGAUCUGGAGGAAUACCGGUGGCGAAGGCGGCCCCCUGGACGAAGACUGACGCUCAGGUGCGAAAGCGUGGGGAGCAAGCAGGAUUAGAUACCCUGGUAGUCCACGCCGUAAACGAUGUCGACUUGGAGGUUGUGCCCUUGAGGCGUGGCUUCCGGAGCUAACGCGUUAAGUCGACCGCCUGGGGAGUACGGCCGCAAGGUUAAAACUCAAAUGAAUUGACGGGGGCCCGCACAAGCGGUGGAGCAUGUGGUUUAAUUCGAUGCAACGCGAAGAACCUUACCUGGUCUUGACAUCCACGGAAGUUUUCAGAGAUGAGAAUGUGCCUUCGGGAACCGUGAGACAGGUGCUGCAUGGUUGUCGUCAGCUCGUGUUGUGAAAUGUUGGGUUAAGUCCCGCAACGAGCGCAACCCUUAUCCUUUGUUGCCAGCGGUCCGGCCGGGAACUCAAGGGAGACUGCCAGUGAUAAACUGGAGGAAGGUGGGGAUGACGUCAAGUCAUCAUGACCCUUACGACCAGGGCUACACACGUGCUACAAUGGCGCAUACAAAGAGAAGCGACCUCGCGAGAGCAAGCGGACCUCAUAAAGUGCGUCGUAGUCCGGAUUGGAGUCUGCAACUCGACUCCAUGAAGUCGGAAUCGCUAGUAAUCGUGGAUCAGAAUGCCACGGUGAAUACGUUCCCGGGCCUUGUACACACCGCCCGUCACACCAUGGGAGUGGGUUGCAAAAGAAGUAGGUAGCUUAACCUUCGGGAGGGCGCUUACCACUUUGUGAUUCAUGACUGGGGUGAAGUCGUAACAAGGUAACCGUAGGGGAACCUGCGGUUG
rnacentral:rRNA from 1 species